ensembl:lncRNA
UCUCUUAAAACUUUUUAGUUCUUUCUUAGUUUUCAACAAUUCCCUGAAUCCUCUCUGGAUUUAUUCUUUGUUUUCCCUCAGACAUUAGAUGCCUUAAAUACCUGACUUCUCCUUCUACAUAUUGUAAUUUCUUUUUCAAUACUCCCGAGCCGAAUAGCUUGUCAGUAGCUUCCUUCACAACUCUUUUCUCCUGUCCUGACAAUAAAUGAUCAUCUACAUAUUUGUAACAGUAAUACCUCCUCGGGAGGUUGUAAUUGCUCCAAAAUCUGUUCUAGAACUUGCCCAAAUAAAUUGGUGGCCCUGUAAACCCCUGAGGUAAAACUGUCCAUCUGUAUUGUUGCUUCCGCCCCCAUUUCAGGGUCUUUCCAGUCAGAGGUGAAUAGAUCUUUGCUCUCAGGGCCUGAGAGCACUCCAUUAAUAACACUGUUAUUCCAGUCUAACAAUUUGCUAUUUGAAUGCCCAAUUUCAUCAUCAAAUCCCUUCCCUACAAGUUAGUCCCUGCCUUUGGUACAUACAGUAAUUGCCCAGUAAUCAUUUUAUCCCCUACUCUCAGCCUGGUAUCCCCCAAAANNNNNNNNNNNNNNNNNNNNAUCUUCAAACAGCUCUGUCAAACACUACAUACCACACCUUUAACACCUUCAAUAACCCUUUUUAACACUUCUUUCUGUCUUUCUCCAGCCUGUACUUUCACCAAAGUCUCAGUCAUUGGCCAGCUUAAUUCCAUACCUUCCUUCUUCCACUCCGGAUAUUCCUACCUGAAGUGGCCAGCCUGGCCACACUUAAAACAUCCCAUCAAAGCCUGUCCCUGCUAGGAUUCAGGCCGCAACACAGGCAGCCUUCCUUGCCUGCCAUUCCUUCAUCUCUCCGCCUCUCCUUUCCAUCCUGGUCCCUACUCCCUUUCUUCCUCUUUCUUCAACCCGCUGCCUGACUACCUGCUACACUGUCAAUACCAUUAGUUUCGCUCUCUGCUUUUCCUUCUCAUCUCCCCUCUGAACAUACACCUCCAGGGCCUCCCUUAGGCGGGCCCCCCAAUGACUGUUCACUACAUCCCCCCACCUUCUGGAGCUUUUUCUGUGUAUCUUGCCAGGCUUUAAUCACAAAAUGAACUUUCAAGAGCCCCCAAGACACUGGGUCCCCGGGACCCAUCCCCGAGCACUCCCCCACCCCGACCCCAAAUCUCCCACAUGACCCCUCUGCUGAGCACUAUCACCACUCCAGCCAGGAUCGGCAGGUGGGCACCCCUGCUCUGCAGGUAUUACCCCCUGUCCCAAAGGAUGAGCUCCUUCCCAUUCUUGUAUAGCAGCUCUCCUCCUGAUCAUUCCCAUUUCUUCCCCUGUAAACAACAUACUUAGUAUAGACAUCAUUUCCCCCCAAGAGUUUAAGUUAGGUCCUAGGAACUGGUCUAAUUGUUCAGCUAACCUGAUGGGGUCCUCAAUUAAAGACUUCAUCUCCUUCUUAAAACCCCUAACACCUCUCUGCCGGUAAGGAGGGGGGGGAGUUCACCUAAGAGGAUACACAGUUAGUCUUAGUACUGUUAGUAUCAGGGAAGGCAGAAUUCUCAGUACCUCUUCUACCUUGUUCUAAUUCUUGCCAGAGCCUAGAGUACGCUCUUCUCUAAGGACAGUGUUAAUUGCAGUCCCUGUCUCCCUUCCUGGAGCGACUGCUGCUGCCACCGGUGCAAUAUUAAGAUUAGAGGGAGCAUAACUUGGCUCCUUCUCCGAAAAAGGAAUCAUAUUGUUUACACAUAUAUUUAAAGCCUGAAUUUUCAUCAGACCCGUAUUUUGGCCGAAAUACUGCUGUUUCCUUAAUUGGUUCUUUUGUCCAGACUGAUACACAAUAUUUAACNNNNNNNNNNNNNNNNNNNNUCUGGUUGUCUGCAUUUUACAAGGUCGCCUGCUAAGUUUUCUUAUCACUGCAAGCAUAUCUUAAUACCCCAUUCCUUACCUUUAAACAAUGUAACUCUGCAAAAAUAACAUUUUUAUUCCCACAGCAGUGAUGCUUCGUCUCACUCACACAGCACAAUCACGCAAUCACACAAAGAGGCCCCUUGCACUUCUCGUUCAUACCACAAGAAUAUAUCACUUAAAACAAUAAUCAAACUUGUUUGUAUCAUCUCUGGCCGUGUUCCUCGUGGAGUAACUCACUUCACAACAAUACUUUGUCUCAAACACAUACACUUACACAAAUGCUUUCAACAUGAGAUACCCAGACAUCUACAAAUAAGACAUACAAUUGUUAACACUCCAAUUAAUAUCCCUCCAUCAAUUGCAAAUAUUACCCAGGUAACCUUGUCACAAUUGUGAGAGGCCCGCUUACCCUUCUCCUGCUUCUUAUACAGUCAUUAGCAGGUCCGUCCUGGCUCCCAAAACUGGGAUGCAGCGGUAACCUCGGAUUUGCUCGAUCUGCUACCAAGAUCGCUAGUGGCUGUUCCAUCGGUCAGCAAAUCCCCCUUGACCACUCAAUCAGUCAGCCUGUAGGGUACCCUCCUCCCUUACGGGGACUAUGCUGCAUGCCAGACGUCUCUGCGCAAUUUACCAGCUGCCCCAACCACACAUACGACUUAUAGGCCCUUCCUGUACUGUUACACAUACUGUUUGUCCACGGUCCAGCAAGUCAUUGUCUGCCCCCUCAGUGAGCGGCCGAGGAGCGGAUUUCCUCCAGGGAAUUGUGCCCGGUGUACGCUAGGACGUCCGCGGUGCAGCCACUCCUGUGGGCAGGCAGAGAGCCUCCUGGCUGGCUCGCCAAAAUGAUUCGUGGAAGAGCUCUAUAACUAAAAGCAAAUAAGUUAUAAAGUAGGUAUGUGGUUUUUUUCGGCGCCGGGCGCAUGGGUGAUAUAGCUCCCAAAGGCACGCGCACCUUAACGCGGCAACUUGCUUUGGUUAUAUGCAGUAAAAAGUUACAUAUUGUGAGAAACACUCCGUAGCCAAUAACGCAGGCUCAGGCGAGGAUCUCAGUGAAGUAGUAAUUUAUUCGCGAUCGCAAUGGCGGGCGCCCCGCAAGCAGGAGAGCGCCCCUACUAGUUCCAUAACACAGUUUGUUUUUGUUUUUUUUUUUGUUUGUUUGUUUUUUUUGUUUGGCCGGGACCCUCCCCUGUUCCCCUAUUGUCUGGGUAAUCCAGGUUCACAAUCUAUCCGGUGCUUCACAGACAAUACAUGGCUUUCAGUUGCCGGCCUGUUAUAAGUCAAAUUUCAUUUGACUUUUAUACUCUUUGAGGUGGUAAUGUUUCUUACACAGUGAUUUCCGCCUAAUUGCUCUAAGGAUUCUGGUUGUCUGCAUUCUACAAGGUAGUCUGCUAAACUUUCUUAUCACUGCAAGCCUAUCUCAAUACCAUAUUCCUUCCCUCUAAACAAUGUAACUUUGCAAAAACAACAUUUUUAUUCCCACACUCUCCAUUUCUCCAUUUUUUAGAAAUGUCAUCCAUAAAUGAAAUAUUGAUUUUAUUUUUUUUUAAUAAAGUUAGGAAAACUUUACCA